rnacentral:misc_RNA from 1 species
AUAAUAAUAAUAAUAAAAACAACAACAAUAACAUAACUUUCAACAACUUUCCAACUGUUUACCAAGUCAAACACAGUCCUCAAAACAUAAAAUUGAUGACGAACCCUGAUGAGAGUGCUUCAGAGGCAAAAAUACUUUUGGAUAAAAAUGCAUUAGCAUAAAAAACACUUGUAUUUAUACAUGUGUAUGCAUGUGCACAAGAGAGAGAGAGAGAGAG